AUGGAGAGUUUGAUCCUGGCUCAGAACUAACGCUGGCGGCGUGCCUAACACAUGCAAGUCGAGCGGACACCACUUUGUAGUAAUACAGAUGAAGUGUUAGCGGCAGACGGGUGAGUAACACGUAGCCAAUCUAUCUUUCCGUCCGGGAUAACUAGCCGAAAGGUUAGCUAAUACCAGAUACGCUCAUCGUGCGGCAUCGCACAAUGAUGAAAGCAGCAAUGCGCGGAUUGAGGAGGCUGCGGCCCAUUAGCUAGUUGGUGAGGUAACGGCCCACCAAGGCGACGAUGGGUAGCUGGUCUGAGAGGACGACCAGCCACACUGGGACUGAGACACGGC
rnacentral:rRNA from 1 species